rnacentral:snRNA from 1 species
AUCGCUUCUCGGCCUUUUGGCUAAGAUCAAGUGUAGAAAACCGGGCUUUUUUACUUUUCUGGCCUAUGACUUCUAUGCAUACACACAUAUUGUAUAUGUAUGUGUCCAGUGUUAAAGGGAUGUGAGUUGUGGGCACUUUUACUCUUGUGCCCCAUCGUCUCCACCACC